GCCGAGACUUGGCGGGUCGGAAUCGCUGCUGCCUGACAGGACUGCCCAGGUCUCCUAAAGGUGAAGAGUUUCAUUACAAGAAAGAGAAGUAGGAGAUUGUUUCAGAAACCCCUAGGAAAAAGCCGCGCACGCAGUAAUCAUGAAAGACUGGCCUUCACCCGUGUUCUGGAACCCGAGGUUUGCUGCUGGAAGCCUCCAAAGUACUUAGUGUCUAUUGUUUCCCCUGUGUGAAACUUUCACUCCCACCUCUACUAAUACAAACAAGAAUUACUACUCUGAAA
rnacentral:lncRNA from 1 species